rnacentral:lncRNA from 1 species
GCCACGCCACCACCGCACGAUCUCUGUUCUCAUCCUGAAGCAAAGUUCUUAACCUGAGGUACUAUUUCUGGGUUAGCGGACUCUGUAACCUGAAUUGUCUGUAAUCUGAAUCGUCUGUAACCCGAGGUACCACUGUACUUUGUGUGAGGUAUGUGUGCAUGUGUGGCGAUUUAGAAAAAUAUGGGGAGAAGUGACGUUUUCUCUCUUUUUAAAAAUGUCUUCCAAAAACUUACCUGCUUUCUCCUCAUACUACAUAUGGAAAGCACUGCUUUGCGAUGAAAAGAAGAGAUUUGAAAAACCACUCAACAUGCCUCCAGAGACGUCUGUUAGCAGAGCAACAGGCCAUGGCCUUGCUGGCAGGCCACUCUCUGGGAUCCAUUUAUCGCCCCGUCCAAUAUCCCCCCAUCCAUCAAGCUUCUCCUCCACCCUCCUUUCCCAGCUCCAGCAUUUCCUCCUGCUGCCUCUUCCCCUCCACCUGCUGUGCUGGGCUUUGGAACUCUCCUGCUUUCCAUUAAUAGUCUUGCUUUUCAGAUAAACAAUGAUUGAGAACCAUCUCAGAGUGGUAGCCUAUAAAUCAAACAACUGCCACUUUUGAUUUGGGAAGAGGGGAAGUUGUUGCAUGGUGGGGGGAGAGAGAAUACUGGAAGGAAUGAUGCAAAAGGUUACUAUGGAGAAGAGACUGAUUUAGAGGUGAAGGGGGAAUGUGAAAGGGGGGUGAUUUAUAUCAGAAAAUAAAGAGUGGAUCCCCCCCAAAAAAUGAAUAAAAAAACAUGGAAGAGCAAAUUGAGCCAUGUGGGUAGAUCAACCAUUCAUUCCUAAAGUUAUUAGCAAUUCGUCUAGUGGCAUCACAAGACUGCUGGGGGGAUAUCAGAUGGCUCCCACUUCCCUCCUCUUUGCAUGGAUGCGGGUGGCGUUGUGGUCUAAACCACUGAGCCUCUUGGGCUUGCCGAUCAGAAGGUUGCUGCUUCGAAUCCCCAUGAUGGGGUGAGCUCCUGUUGCUCUGUCCCAGCUCCUGCCAACCUAGCAGUUCGAAAGCACACCAGUGCAAGUAGAUAAAUAGGUACUGUUGCAGCAGGAAGGUAAACAACGUUUCUGUGCGCUCUGGCUUCCAUCACGGUCCACCGUGUACCAGUAGUGGUUUAGACAUGCUGCCCACAUGACCCGGAAAGCUGUCUGUGGACCAACACCAGCUCCCUCGGCCUGAAAGCAAGAUGAGCACCGCAACCCCAUAGGUGCCUUUGACUGGACCGAACCGUCCAGGGGUCUUUUACCCCUCUUUGCAUUGUUACUGGCUCCUCCACUCCAACAACUUGUAGUGGAGAUAAUGGCGAUUUGCAAGAGAUGUGCUGUCUAGAAUUAAAACAAUCAAUGUCUUUCAACAAAUAAACAGGCAAAGACAAUGCGGUAGCCAUAGUAUUCAUUUGCUUAGCUGUAAGCUAUAAUAAAGAAAAAAGACAUUCAGAGUUGAGCCAGAAAUUUGGCUCUUAAUUUCCCAACAGCCAAUGCAAAGACACACACACGUUAACAGCACACACCUGAUGUAACAAAACUUUCCCAGCAGCUAAAGUCAAGACAGAUAUUUCCCACAAGGAUCUUUAUAGGAAGGACUCUGGGUAACAUCAAUUUUAGCCACCUAUAAUUCUAUUUUUUUAAUAGGUUUUAUUGGAUUUCCUGGUUUUGUAACUGAUUUGUAAUGACUUUUUGUCAAAUACAAAAAAUAAAUGAUUGAUUGAUAUAAGAGCAUCUUGCUUUAAAGAGAAUAGCAUCUUGAUGAACUUUCCAAGAGGAAUUAGCUGUUGAAGUGGACCUUUAGAGGAGAAAACAAUUUAGCUUGUUGAAUAGAAAUUUCUCAGUUAAAUGUGGCAACUCUAACUCAGUUGGUAGAGCACGAGACUCUUAAUCUCAGGGUUGUGAGUUUGAGCCCCACGUUCGGCACAAAUAUUCUUGCAUUGCAGAGGGUUGGACUAGAUGACCCUUGUGAUCCCUUCCAACUCUACAAUUCUGUUCUUGUGAACUACUUCAAAGUUUGGUAAAAUUAAUGCCAAGCUGUUCCUUCUCACAGACGUUAUCAGCAGGUCUAUCUCCUUUUUCAACCCACCCCUGGUCAGAGGUAAUGUAACUGUAUCAGCUGAACUUUCUGUUUCAUAAAAUUAUUCAGUCCAGAGUCUAAAGUUACUCUGAGGGCUACCUACCAAAACUGUACUGCAACAGAGCUUUUGCCUUCCCCUGAAGAAGCAGCGUGUGCAAGAGCUAGCUGGGAGCUGUUCCUCAGCAAACACUUCUUUCCGGACACUUGUUGCUCUGUGCUUGUAGCAACCGGUGUCCAGAACUGUAUACUGCAGUCUGAUUCAGGGUGAUGGAGAGGUGGUCCUGCUUCCAUUCAUGAAAGUCCAGAGCCAUUUCCUUUCCUAGCAGAUGCAGGUCUUUCCAGAAGUGCUUGGAAUACCAAAGUCAGGAUGACUUAUCAGCCUUUCUCAACCUGUGGGUCCCCAGAUGUUGUUGAACUACAACUCCCAUCACCCGUAGCUAGCAAGGCCAGAGCUCAGGGAUGAUGGGAGUUGUAGUCCAACAACAUCUGGGGACCCACAGGUUGAGAACAUCCAGCCAGAUGGAUUCUUGAAGGUCGUGAUGACUGGUCACCAUAAACAAAGCCACUGUUUCUGGGUGAGAGGGAACAAGGCUGCAGCCACAGGAUCCAGCUAUAGCUUCAGAGGUGCGUCUGUUUCGUUAACUGGCUGUUUUAAUUAUGGGCAGCACUACUAGCUGUAUAUAGUUCUGCACCUUCGUAAUAGCACCAUGGUUCAUUUUAUACAUCAUUACUUCUGGAGCUCCAAAAGACAGCAAUGAUAAGUCUAUGAUAAGUCUAUGCCAGAUAGUUCUACAAAUGAUGGGUAGUUACUCUUUUUUAAAAUUUGAAAGCUGGAAUCUGGGGGUUGUGGUUCAUUCUGCGGGACCAAUUGCGCCCUUGGUGCCCGGAGGCCCUGAGUCUCAAUGUAGGAGCAGCCAAGAGCCAUUAGUUCUCAUCUGAAAGCAGGUGGCUAGAAAAGUCGGGACUGAAAAUCCUUCCUUCAUCCCACUCACCAAUGUACAGGUUCUAUAUCUGAACAAAUAAGCAAAUAAUAAUUCGUCUACUCAUCCUCCAACUUAUCUCUCUUUUUCCUUCAGAAGCGCUAAAAAGAAAACACAAGGAGCCCAAAGCCCAGAGCUGCCACGUUGUGAACCUGCCUUUCAUGUUUCUUGACAAUGUCAAGACAUUCCCUUCAUUUUUGUUUUCCCCGAACUGUCACGGGUUGUCGCAUUCCUCCGCUCAUGCCCUUGAUCGAAAAACUUUACUGAGCCUGAAGAAAGAAUAUGCUGGUUGUUAUUGUGUUUAUUUAUUGCUUUUGCUUCUUCUCCUGCUGGUUGUUAUCGUGUUUAUUUGUUGCUUUCCCUUUCCCUCUUGAGAGCAUCAAGAAUUACAAUGUAUGCUCAUAUAAACAUAGCAAUGUAUGCCUCUGGCCCAAUCCACUCCCGGCCUGCAGCCCAUGAGGGAAGGCAGUUUGUGGGUUGACCACAGAGCAAUCCCACGUGCAAAAGGAGUUUUAUAAACCAUUCUGAGGUGUUUAAAAAACCACAAAAAACCAC